CAGUCGCCACGGGAAUACGUAGGGUGCAAGCGUUAAUCGGAAUUACUGGGCGUAAAGCGUGCGCAGGCGGUUAUAUAAGACAGAUGUGAAAUCCCCGGGCUCAACCUGGGAACUGCAUUUGUGACUGUAUAGCUAGAGUACGGCAGAGGGGGAUGGAAUUCCGCGUGUAGCAGUGAAAUGCGUAGAUAUGCGGAGGAACACCGAUGGCGAAGGCAAUCCCCUGGGCCUGUACUGACGCUCAUGCACGAAAGCGUGGGGAGCAAACAGGAUUAGAUACCCGAGUAGUCCCUGUCUCUUAUAA
rnacentral:rRNA from 1 species